CGGCAGCUCUCCGGGACCCCAGUCGGAGCCGGCCCGAGGAGGAGGAUCCUAGGACCCAGGUUGCAAUAACAAAGAACUUGAUCUCGCAGACUUCCCCUUGAAACCCACAGGAUGGUGUGUGUUACAUGUCCCCUCUGUUCUGGAUCCACAGAAGAAGAGUAUCACAGUGCUAUCCAUAAAGUCUGGUUCCUUAACUCCUUCUGAUGAGUCCCAUAUGUUCAGUCCUAGAAAUCCUCAGUCCAAUACCUGGUGAUAGCUAAAAUGCUCCUAUUGAAUUCCAUGCAUACUGCAUGAUCAGGGUAAAAAUAAAGACCUGAUCUGGAAUUUUUGUGCAAGCAAAACUCCCACUCAUGCUAUGGAUUAGAGGAUGAAGUCUUGAAAUUGAUGCCUUUAAGUUUUACAUUUUUUUACCUUACAUCUAUGAUAACAUAGGAACUCAUUCUUCAGCAGCGCAAUGAAGAAUUGGCUAAGGUAAUGUAAUUGUACAAUUAUUCACUGAAUCCAAAAUGGAUAUCAAAGAACCAAUUAACUUUUCUCUAGGCCAGGUGAGGUGGCCUUCUGGUUACAGACAUGUAACAUAAUCAUAAUGAAAUGCACAAGUACUAAAACUGCAGGAAUGAUGAGCUAUGCCAAUUUACAUCAACCACGCCUGUGCUUUUUAGGUACAAAGUAAGGAAUGGCUUAUAUUUGCUCUGUUUGCUGUUGGUUUUUCAUAUGUUCAGUGAAAAUGUCUUGCUUUAGUGCCAAAAUGGCUCUGCAAUGAAAAUACAUGACAAUUCAUCUCCUUCCAUGUGUACCAUGUAAACGUUACCAUUUCAUCACUGAAAAAGCAAAAGCAUGAAAAGCCUUGGAAAAUGGCACAAAAUAAUUAGAAACAUUCUACUACAGCUUAAUUUUCCUGCCUCCAGCUGCCACCGUCCACAUUCAAGGGAGGGGGCCAGAGGAAAAUCUGCUCUACAGAGGCCAGGACCAGGUCUAUACAGCACUUGACUUCUAAGCAUAUCUGCAUGUAAGUUGUGUGUUCAAAAAGCUCAAGUUGUCAUUGAACUUGUCAGACAGACUAGCAUAAGGGCAGAAUAUAGAAGAAUACUCAUGGACUUACAAUCAGCUCCAGACUUGACGAAUCAUUCACUCCCUUGUAUCCUUUACUUUUUCCAUAACAUAAACACUCCUGGACUGCAGCGGAAGCUCUGAAUGAAAAAGGAGCACAGACUCUAAGCCCAUUGACAAAACAUUUCUACACAGUAGCAAUCACUCUUUAAUAGCCUUGUGUUACUCGCACCUUUUUCCAUGUCCUUAGAUAUCUUUCAUUUAAUGCAUUAUACUCAAAAUAGAGGUUCUGAAGAAGUAGAAAACUUGGUUUGAACAAUGUGAAACUGGAUCAUUAGAAAUAAGGAUGAAAAUUUAAUGCCGUUUAAGGAAGAACUAAUGUGUACCCAAAGAACCAGAGGACAGGCUUUCCCACUGCACAUUUGUGCAGCAUCACCCAUUAGGUAACUUGCACUACUGUUCAAGGUGAAAAAAAAUCCAUUUCCUCUUUAAAAGACAGAUUAUGCCUGGACUUUAGCCCAUGCAGAGUGUAGGCAUGGGACCAUCCCCCGGUAGCAUUGCCUAUAUAAGGGCUAGACUGAAUUCCAGUCUGGGAACACAGGGAUGGGGUGGAGGGUAGGUAGUAAGUUGUGCUUCAUCAUUGUACUUGGAAGCCUUAAAUAGUUCAGAAACAUAAUGGUUCCUGGUGCCCCUACUAGAGUGGUACAAUUUUGUGCCAUCUUUUACUUGAGUUCUGCCUAAAUGGCACAAUCUAGCCCCUAACAAUCAACAUUUGACAGAAAUUAUGCUAUCAUCAUUCUUUUUAAAGCUAGGUUCUUGUAUUUGACAAGCACUGUGACUGUGGGUGAUGUUCCACUAAUAACUCCCUUUUGAUAAAAUGCCAAGACCUGCCAAAGAGUAAAACCCUCAGUGAAUGAUGCCGUCAAGGCAAGUGCUCAGUUUUCUUCUUGUGCUAGAUGCCCGGAGCAACCACUUGCACAAUUUACAGGACUUCCAUUAGAAAGUCUUUCCUGACAUUUGUAAAAUGUUAAUUGGGAUGAUAUCCUAUUCUGAUAUUCUUAUAGCCUUAAAAAAACUUAAUGGCCAUCACUACAGCAGGCAAAUGGAUUAUUAUGUGUUAUCUACUGUAUAAUGAUUACCUAUAAAAGAUUACUUAGACCAUCUUUUUUCAUACAAGGACCAUCUUUUCAUGGCAUUUGAACAGCAUCUCACACAAUGGGCUCCUGGUCCAUAACUGGGGAUCAUAAGUGCUGAAAUAAUAUGUCUAAUUUUUAAAAAUAGGUAUCUAAACUGCUGGUGAUGCUUCAAUUUUGAAAAUCUGACCCCAUGAGGGGCAGGAAGGAAGCAGUCCCAAUAUGCCUCAGUGUAGAGACUGAAAUUGUUACUUGCUCAUAUCUCAGCCAGGCUUUUUAUAGCCUCCUCUAAAUGGUACCAAUUAAAAAUGCCAGGCAGGAUCUCCCAAAUUAUCCAAAAUGCUUACUAAAAUCAAAGUCAUGAUCCUUUCUAUCUAAUCUCUCUUCUCUAACCAUGUUUUUAUGCCAUGUUUUAUCACUGUGGUAUCUAUAGUGAGCAUGAGUUUUUGACUGAGCACAGCCAGAAUCAGGCCCCUUGGCAGAAAUGUGCCAUAGAAAAGGUUAAUUAAACUUAAAAUUUCCUCAGAGCUUUACACAACAGCAAACUGCAAAAGAUGAAUGUCAUUUAAAAAAUAGAGGGGGCAUCAAAAUCUUUUUUCUCCUUCAAUCUGAAGUGGAACUAAUCUAAAAUAAUGUGCCACUCUUGCAGUACAGUGAAAGCCGCUAUGUUGCAGAAUUUCAAAUAGACUUUUAAUGAGUUAUCAUUUUUUGCACAAUUAGCAGCUAUGAACUAUUGAAAAGCUCCCAAGACUAGUGAGCUGCAUGUUCUAGUGCCAUUGGUUACAGCCAGUAGUAUUUAAUUUGAGC